rnacentral:tRNA from 1 species
GGUCUGGUAGUUCAGUUGGUUAGAAUGCCGCCCUGUCACGGCGGAGGUCGCGGUUCGAGCCCCGUCCAGACCGCCA